UUCAAAAACGAUAAGUGAAAAAAUGGAAAAAAGAUGAAAAAAAAGGAGUUUUAUCGAACCAUACAAUGGAAACCAAAUCGUCGGAGUGCACCUGGCCUUGGUCCAGGCCUGUUUAUUGAUUAAAAUAAUGAUCCGAAACCGAUAUAAACUAGAAUGGCAUGUCCAUCGGCCAGCAGCUAUCAAGAUGCCACGGCCAACCAGAGAAAUUAUCGUUGUACCUCCAUGACAACCUGGCUCUAGCCGCUCUAAAAUUUUGACGUCAGUUUUCAUUGAAGAUCGCUGGACGAUUUCAACGAAAACAUCGCUUGGUCCCUAUCGAAGUGGUUUAUGGAGGUGCCGUACAUAUUGGAGGUCCUGCUGCUUUGAAAGUGGCAACAAAUCGGAACCAAUUCCGAAAUAAAAUGAAUUUUAAAAAUAAUA